rnacentral:misc_RNA from 1 species
GCAAACUUGGUCAUUUAGAGGAAGUAAAAGUCGUAACAAGGUUUCCGUAGGUGAACCUGCGGAAGGAUCAUUACCGAGACGAAGAGCCCCUCCCCCUUUCUCCCCCCCCGAAGGGGUGGAGGGGUAACCCUUCCAAACCCUUUCUGUGUACCUUUACCAUGUUGCCUCCGCGGGGACCGGCGCGGAGGAGACGCCUCAAGGCGCCUUCUCCCUCCGCCUCCGAGGUGGGAGCCGUCCGCGCUUCCCUUGCCUCCAGCUCGCGGAGGGGCCGCAAACCCAAACCUUUUGCUGUGCAAACCGGUCGUAGUCUGUUCAAGCUUCCGAGAGGAAGCGAAAGAAAAAGUCAAAACUUUCAACAACGGAUCUCUUGGUUCCCGCAUCGAUGAAGAACGCAGC